rnacentral:lncRNA from 1 species
AGGCACACAAUCUGCAAAGACAUCUCUCCAGAUCAGAGAGUCAUGAGAAAAGAGCCACAUAAUAAAAGGCUUGGUUUAUUUAUAGAUAGAGAAAAUAUCAACAGUAUAAAAAUAUGACUAGGGAAAGAUACACUUGUGUGUCUCUGGCUGAGGAAGAAAGGGCUUGAGAUGCUGGAUCCACACCUGAGCUGCUCCAAAUGCAGUGUCCUGCCGCAUGUCUCUAUCAAGUGUCCUUAGGAAAAAUAUUUCCUUCAAGACCACAAGUGUGUGUCCAUGCUUUGAGGCUGCUGAGAAGACUGCUGCACUCUUGAAGCUGCCACCUGACUGCACCCUGAGAAGGUAGACAAUUCUGGGUUGCAGGUGACUCAGGAUUUUUAUAAACACAGAAAAAAAAAAAGAUGAUCAUCCUCUUGACAAAAGUGUCUUGUGCCCCAUUUCUAAGUUAAUGGUAGAAAAGGUCUCUAAAAGGAGGUAUCUGGGGUCCUGUGAAGAAAAUGGCCAAAGAAAAAAGUCAUUUGAAAGCCUCCAUACAAAGAUCUGACCUGCCUGACUAUGGCACCUAAGCUUAGGAUCUAAUUCGUCUAAUUCGUCUUUUCCUAUUUUCUAGGGUGAGCGUGUUAUUUAAGGGAAGGUAU